UGUUCCAGUGAAAAAAAAACACUAACUCAACCCAUGCCACUACUGGCUCCGUUCUGGCUCGAUCUGGAUGUUUGUGUGUUCCAGUGAAAAAAAACGUAACUCAACCCGUGCCACCCUGGCUCCCUUCUGGCUCGAUUCGGAUGUUUGUGUGUUCCGGUGAAAAAAAACUAAACCCGUGCCACCCUGGCUCCGUUCUGUCUCGAUUCAGAUGUUUGUGUGUUCCAUUAAAAAAACACUAACUCAACCCGUGCCACCCUGGCUCCGUUCUGGUUCGACUCGGAUGUUUGUGUGUUCCAGUGAAAAACACUAACUCAACCCGUGCCACCCUGGCUCCGUUCUGGUUCGAUUCAGAUGUUUGUGUGUUCCAGUGAAAAAAAACACUAACCCAACCCGUGCCACCCUGGCUCCGUUCUGUCUCGAUCUGGAUGUUUGUGUGUUCCGGUGAAAAAAAUUAACUAACCCAACCCGUGCCACCCUGGCUCCGUUCUGGUUCGACUCGGAUGUUUGUGUGUUCCGGUGAAAUAAAACUUAACUCAACCCGUGCCACCCUGGCUCCGUUCUGUCUCGAUUCAGAUGUUUGUGUGUUCCAGUGAAAAAAAUAACUUACCCAACCCGUGCCACCCUAGCUCCGUUCUGGCUCGAUUCGGAUGUUUGUGUGUUCCAUUAAAAACACUGACUCAACCCGUGCCACCCUGGCUCCGUUCUGGCUCGAUUCGGAUGUUUGUGUUCCAGUGAAAAAAAAAACACUAACUCAACCCAUGCCACUACUGGCUCCGUUCUGGCUCGAUUCGGAUGUUUGUGUUCCAGUGGAAAAAAAAAACACUAACUCAACCCAUGCCACUACUGGCUCCGUUCUGGCUCGAUCUGGAUGUUUGUGUGUUCCAGUGAAAAAAAAAAUAACUCAACCCGUGCCACCCUGGCUCCCUUCUGGCUCGAUUCGGAUGUUUGUGUGUUCCGGUGAAAAAAAACUAAACCCGUGCCACCCUGGCUCCGUUCUGUCUCGAUUCAGAUGUUUGUGUGUUCCAUAAAAAACACUAACUUAACCCGUGCCACCCUGGCUCCGUUCUGGUUCGACUCGGAUGUUUGUGUGUUCCAGUGAAAAACACUAACUCAACCCGUGCCACCCUGGCUCCGUUCUGGUUCGAUUCGGAUGUUUGUGUGUUCCAGUGAAAAAAAACACUAACUCAACCCGUGCCACCCUGGCUCCGUUCUGUCUCGAUCUGGAUGUUUGUGUGUUCCGGUGAAAAAAAAUUAACUAACCCAACCCGUGCCACCCUAGCUCCGUUCUGUCUCGAUCUGGAUGUUUGUGUGUUCCAGUGAAAAAAAAUAACUAACCCAACCCGUGCCACCCUAGCUCCGUUCUGUCUCGAUUCGGAUGUUUGUGUGUUCCGGUGAAAUAAAACUUAACUCAACCCGUGCCACCCUGGCUCCGUUCUGUCUCGAUUCAGAUGUUUGUGUGUUCCGGUGAAAUAAAACUUAACUCAACCCGUGCCACUACUGGCUCCGUGCUGGCUAGGCUUGGGCUCGGAUAUGUUUGGGCCAGUGGAAAAAAAAAACAACUUCAACCCGUGCCACCUUGGCUCCGUUCUGGUUCGAUUCGGAUGUUUGUGUGUUCCAGUGAAAUAAAACUUAACUCAACCCGUGCCACCCUGGCUCCGUGCUGGCUAGGCUUGGGCUCGGAUAUGUUUGGGCCAGUGGGAAAAAAAGAAAAAACUUCAACCCGUGCCGCUACUGGCCCCGUGCUGGCUCGGCUCGGCUACACGUGUGUGUGUGUGUGUGCCAGUGGAAAAAAAAAUUAAUUGGCCUUGCCUAGGCCUUGAUCGUAGUUAUAAAUUAUAAAUGAUUACUUAGGGCUACGAGUGAAGGCUUUAGCGGGGAGGGGGUUAAUUAGCAUAACACCACGUUAAUUCUACGAUAACGAUAUGCUAAUGUUGUUUCGGUAAUGUUAUGCUAAUUGUAUGCUAAUGUUAUGCAAGUGUUAUGUUAAUUCGACGCUGAGGUAUUCAUGUUCACGGGAGUUGUUUAAUUUAUGCGGUGAUUAAUAUUCAUGACGGGGGAAGUCGGGCGGGGGGCGUGACGUCAUUCAUAUGUUUCACCCCUCCCCCCUCCUUGGGAGCUACAUCACUAAAUAGGUGGGAUGGUGACGUCAUUCAUCUGUUUCACUCCCCUCCCAAUGGGGGCUACGUCACUAAGCAGGUGGGAUGGUUGACGUCAUUCAUCAGUUUCACCCCCCCUUGGGGCUACGUCACUAAGAAGGUGGGGGGUGACGUCAUUCAUCUGUUUCACCCCCCCCCUUGGCUACAUCACUAAGAGGGCAGGGAGGGUGACGACAUUAAUCUGUUUCACUCUAAGAAGUUGGGGGGGUGACGUCAUUCGUCUGUUUCCCCCUCCCCAUGGGGGUUACGUCACUAAGAGGGCGGGGAGGGUGACGGCAUUCAUCUGUUACACCCCCCUCGAGGGCUACGUCACUAAGAAGGCGGGGAGGGUGACGUCAUUUGUCUGUUUCACCCCCCCUUGGGGGAUACAUCACUAAGUAGGCGGGGAGAGUGACGUCAUUCAUCUGUUUCACCCCCCCUUGAGGGCUACGUCACUAAGUAGGCGGGGAGGGUGACGUCAUUAAUCUGUUACACCCCCCCCUCGAAGGCUACGUCAUUAAGAAGGCGAGGAGGGUGACGUCAUUUGUCUGUUUCAACCCCCCUUGGGGGCUUCAUCACUAAGGUGAGGGGGUGACGUCAUUCAUCUGUUUCACCCCCCCCUUGAGGGCUACGUCACUAAGAAGGCGGGGAGGGUGAUGGGCUGAUGGUGAUGAUGGUGGUGAUGUUAAAAAUGUAAUAAAAAAAUGGUGGCGCGUGUAA